CUUAGGCGACCCCUGGGAAAGGGUCGCAAGACCCCCAGAGGUUGAGAACCACUGGAUUAGAUGUCAGAUGUUAGGUAAUACCAGUUUGUUGGCGUCACAGUCUCUAAACUGACAAUACCAGAGCGAUUCAGUUUUGUUUUGCUUUUUCAUAUUCUAAAUCUAGCAAGCAGCUGAUUGUUGAGAGUCAGGUGGAUCCAAGGCUUUCUCAGAGGUCCCCAGGAAAGGACAAAAGGAACCUAGUUCAGUGUCCUUGCCCAGGGGCAGACUUGGCCAAGUCCAGUCUGGGGCUGGAGCCAGGACCUAGAAGGAGUCCGACUUUCCAUUCCUGGGAAUGUGGCUUUCCCCACUGAAGAGAUUGGCGUUAUCAGUCCCAGGGACUUUGUGUGCUUGGCCUGUGAUAGCCCUGAGGUAUCCUGUGCUCCUCUUGUGCAGCACUGCUUGAUGAACUUCCUGCUGACUCUGUCCCAUUUCCCCCCUGCAAACAGGAUACAAGAUGGCGUUCUUCUUAAUAAACUUGCUUGGCAUAAGACAGAGCUUGUGGGAGACCUCCUGGGCCCACCUUUUCUAUCUUCUUGAUCUCUGAACUCCUGGACUUUCCUCAUCAGUACUGAAGAACAACUUACUGGCCAAGAAACAGCUGGAUUCUCAUCUGCUUCUGCAUGCAGUCAUUCAUGUGUUUGGGCUAUCCCUUAUCACGUAGCGAGUGAGUGAAAAGCAAACCAUGUCUGAAUGUUAUGAUGAACAUAGUUUUGAUCCAUGGACAGCACAGUGGGUCAAACCAGAGGCGCCAGCACUACACUCUGAGAAUUGAUUGUUGGACAGAAGUUCUUCCAGGCCUGCUUUCAAGUGCCCGUCUACGAGUACAGUGACGAAACUUCCGCAGCGCCCCGCUCCCGCCUCUUUGGUCAGCGCCACACUCACCCUCACAGCACGCCCCGUGAACACUGAGCCAGUGACGCUACUUCUGAAGGUUCUGGUCUGGUUCAGUGGCAGAAGGCCCUUGUGGUACUGCAGAGCAAUCCGGGCGGUCACUCCCGAGCCCGUGGGGCUCCUGUCGACCUGUUUCAGAAUCAGGAAUGACAGGAGGUGAGUGUUCUCCAUCAGCUGCUCCUGGUGUUUGCGCCUAACAGCUGCUGUCCUGAUACCUGUUCAUCUGCAAAGACACAGAUGUUGGUGGUGGGCUCCUCGCUGUAGGCGUCUUUUCCGUCUGUUAAAAUAGUGCCAUACAGAAAACCAAGGUCUUCACUCUCGGGGUGGGUGAUUUUAAACUGCAAAUAAAGUGGCCAUAUGUAAAAUGUUUUGACUCAAAUUUUGUCUUUAGAAAUAAUGUCAACAACAGACUCUCAAGACAUAAUUUUCUCAAUAUGUACCGUUUUUGAAAUUACCUUCUGGGAUAAGCCUAAAUAAAUGCUUGAUAUUAUAUUGCUCUCUAGAUAUAAA